rnacentral:lncRNA from 1 species
UGCAGGCUGCCCAGAGGAGUGCCCAGUGGGCCAUAAAGCGCGUGUUGAUGGAGAUCCAGCACAGACUACAUGAAUGCCAAGGACCUGGACGCCCUAGACCUCAAGCCCCCCUCCUCCAGGACCCACCGGAGCCAGUACAAUGUGGAGAAAGACAUCAAGGCGUUGCCAACACGACCCGGGCUCACGGCCGCAUAGUCGGUGGCAGCACGGCUCCCUCGGGGGCCUGGCCUUGGCUAGUGAGGCUGCAACUUGGAGGGUUGCCUCUGUGCGGGGGUGUCCUGGUAGCAGCAUCCUGGGUGCUCACGGCUGCACAUUGCUUCGCCGGUGCCUCGAAUGAGCUUCUGUGGACUGUGAUGCUCGCCGAGGGGCCUCAGGGGGAGCAAGCGGAAGAAGUGCAGGUGAACCGCAUCUUGCCCCACCCUAAGUUUGACCCGCAGACUUUUCACAAUGACCUGGCCUUGGUACAGUUGUGGACGCCUGUGAGCCCAGAGGGGCCUGCGCGCCCCAUUUGCCUUCCCCAGGGUUCUCGGGA